CUGAGGAGCGUGCUGGAAGGUGGCACCGGAGCCCGGACCGUACACUACAGUGGGCCGGCUACCGGCGAGGUCCUGCGCGAAGCCACAUUCAUAAUAAUUUGGACGUAACGAGUCGCCGCUUUUAUAUUUGGAAAAGAGCGAGAGAAAGAGCACCAGACGGAGAGAGACGGAGGGGAGGGAGAGAGUGAGCGAGAGUCUGUUGUGGUGUUCCCCCUCACGGCCACAACUGACGAGCUGAUCUCGGUGACGACAAGCUGCCGGAGCGGGACCAUGAGACAAUGCCGCCGCCGCAAAAACAACAACUUUCACACCGAUUCCAUGAAAUAUCCAGCGAUGAAGAAACCAGAGAAAGGGAAGUGGAGGAGGAAAGGCGAGCGAGCAUCACAAUUCCGGCUAUAGCGUUGAAAUCUGGAGCGCUGUCUUGCUCUCAAACGGCUUUUCUGUGAUUUACUCUUCUGCAAAUGACUUGUUUCAUAUUCUCUCUCUCCCCUCUCACACAUACACACACACACGCUCACUCUCUCUCCAUCCCCCCUCUCCCUGUCUCCCUCUGUAGUAUGUGUGUUUCAGGAUAAUUUGCAUCUAUUAUCAGCUCUUCGUCCCAUUGGCUUCUCUGUGCACGAACAAACAUGCACGAGCGUGCGCACACUCACUGCACUUCCCCGCUGGCGUCGGCUGGCGCGCGUCUAAUGCAAAGAGAGCUGGAGGAUGGAGAGAUCGAAGAAGGGAGAAUGAAGCGAAGUAUGUGUGUGCGUGUGCUUGUGUUUAUGCGCGCGCCCGCGUGUGUGUUAAUAAAAGUUUUAACCAAUGCAUAGCACACACAUCUCAUAUGCGGUCUGAAAAUUAUAAUUGAAGGAAGAUAAGAGGUUGCAUUCUAUGCAUUGCAUCAUUAAGAACACCACGUCCCCAUUAAUUACCAAGCACUUCUUUCCCUCUCCCAUGCAUGUGUCAGUCUAAGUGUGGCUUUGGAAAUAAACGAGCCGCGGGAUCUGGACGAUGCGUUCUGAUCAUUUUAUAAAUAUGAUCUUCAUAUACAUGCGAGGAGAGGUGGGUGGUUGGGUAAUAAACGCUAGAAUCGGCUGUAAACAGUUUAAGCAACUAUAAAGUCCCAUAAAGCUGACGCGGUGGUGUUUGCUUGUUUACGUCCUCACAACAGAGAAGCACAAAGAGGGGUUAUGAGCGCCCUUUUGCGAGAGCGAAGGCCGUAAAUGCCCUUAACCGAGUAAGAAUACCGCGGGUUUUAAUUGUCAUUUCGUCAUACAGAUGUCGCCCCUCCUGUCGAGGUGUGGACAAAGGGAUGCUUUUUAACGAGGGUUAAGUUGUAGGAUGGCUUUCGUUUAGAUCUUCUGACUUGAUAGG